AUUGAACGCUGGCGGCAGGCCUAACACAUGCAAGUCGAACGAGAGGAGGACGGGUGAGUAGUGUCUGGGAAACUGCCUGAUGGAGGGGGAUAACGACUGGAAACGGUAGCUACUACCGCAUACAAUCAGGUGUGCCCAGUUGGGAUUAGGUAGUUGGUGGGGUAACUGCUAACCAAGACGAAGAUCCCUAGCUGGCCUGAGAGGAUGACCUGCCACACUGGAACUGAGACACGGUCCAGACUCCUACGGGAGGCAGCAUUGGGGAAUAUUGUACAAUGGGCGCAAGUCUGAUGCAGCCAUGCCGCGUGUAUGAAGAAGGCCUUCGGGUUGUAAAGUACUUUCAGCAGGGAGGCGUUACCCGAAGAGGAAGCACCGGCUAACUCCGUGCCAGCAGCCGCGGUAAUUC
rnacentral:rRNA from 1 species